rnacentral:lncRNA from 1 species
UUAUAAGAACCUUCAAAGCUUUGAAUUUUAUGUAUGCUCUAAGAUAUAUCAUAAAUUGCAUGAAUUCAUGUUUUUGGCAUUUAUGCCACAAUAUUUUUACACCAUAAAAGAACUUUGCAAUCAUACUUAAUAUACUGCUCUUAUACUCUGAAAAUUAGUUAAAUUGCUCUCAUGUUGCUAAAAUGCUUAAUAUAUUGGGCAAAAGAUCUUAAAUGAACAAGCUUUCAUACUUAUUAUUGAAGAGAGGUUAGAUUUCCAUUCGUGCUUUCCUUGAAUAUCAUUUGUGGUACUUCUUGAAUUAACUUAAGAAAGAUUCCAUCUACACUUGAGUUGAAAACUAUCCUUGGAAUCACAUUCGAUGUGCUCUCAUCAUAAUUUGCUCUAAAAUUAUCCUAAAUGGCUCUGAUCUAUGCUCAUUUAUCUUUUUCUAACAUUAUUGCCUUGAGCAUUCUUAUCUUUGUACUUAAUGUUUCACUAUCUUUUUGAUGUUGUCAAAAAGGGGGAGAAAUAUCUGAGUAUAUGCUCAUAAUGCUUUAUGUGUUGAUUAUGUUAAGAU